GAGAGAGAGAUUGUGCUGACUGAAAUAGUGGUGACUGGAGAACUCAGAAAUACAAAUCUGUGCAACAUCUUAAAAUUCCUAGUUUGAUAGCCCUUACAACUCCCUCUGACACACACCGUUUGGGAUUAAAUCCUGAAAAGUAGCGAAUAGUAUUGCCGAUCAGGCCAGGACCAUGUAAAAGUGUAACAUUCCUUCUCCGAGAACAAAUGGAGUUAAUUCUGCCACAAAAGAAAAGAAUGAACUGAUGAACUCGUUCACACUACCCCUCGCUCUUCAACUGUUGGAGAAAACUUCCUUCUAUCGCUGCUCGCAACACAGCAGAACUUGGUUUAAUUCUGUGCGCUAAAAUUUUGCAAACGAGGCCUAAAAUACUGUUAUGUAGGAUAGACUGUUAUGUAGGAUAAACGGAAUCGUUUCAGUAACUUUCUUGAUCAUCUUUAGAAACUCUUUCAACAACAUUGAUAAAGUCCAGUUUGCCUGCUGAAAUUUCAGAAUCUUGCUCUACUUUACGGAAGGCGCGAAUGUAAAAUCUAUGAAUUGUAAAAAAAGCAAUAAUUGUCAGUUAAGAGUUAAAAUUUGAAUAUGCAUGAUAUGGUCGGUCGAAUAUAAUAUAAUGAAUUGAUCCAAAGCCAGCAGGCUUUUCGCACUGGCCAGUAAUGCUUUUUGA